rnacentral:rRNA from 1 species
GACGAACGCUGGCGGCGUGCCUAAUACAUGCAAGUUGAGCGCUGAAGGGUGGUUCUUGUCCCAACUGGGUGAGCAGCGGACGGGUGAGUAACGCGUGGGGAAUCUGCCUUUGAGCGGGGGACAACAUUUGGAAACGAAUGCUAAUACCGCAUAAAAACUUUAAACACAAGUUUUAAGUUUGAAAGAUGCAAUUGCAUCACUCAAAGAUGAUCCCGCGUUGUAUUAGCUAGUUGGUGAGGUAAAGGCUCACCAAGGCGAUGAUACAUAGCCGACCCGAGAGGGGGGUUGGCCACAAUGGGACUGGAGCACGGGCCAAACCUCUACGGGGGGGAGGAGUAGGGGAACUUCGGAAAUGGACGGAAGUCUGACCGAGCAACGGCGGGGGGGUGGAGAAAGUUUUCGGGACGGAAAACUCUGUUGGUAGGGGAGAAAGGUGGGGAGAGUGGAAAGCUCAUCAAGUGACGGUAACUACCCAGAAAGGGACGGCUAACUACGUG